AACGAACGCUGGCGGCAUGCCUAACACAUGCAAGUCGAACGAGACCUUCGGGUCUAGUGGCGCACGGGUGCGUAACGCGUGGGAACCUGCCCUUAGGUGCGGAAUAACUCCCCGAAAGGGGUGCUAAUACCGGAUAAUGUCUUCGGACCAAAGAUUUAUCGCCUUUGGAUGGGCCCGCGUUGGAUUAGCUAGUUGGUAGGGUAAAAGCCUACCAAGGCGACGAUCCAUAGCUGGUCUGAGAGGAUGAUCAGCCACACUGGGACUGAGACACGGCCCAGACUCCUACGGGAGGCAGCAGUGGGGAAUAUUGGACAAUGGGCGAAAGCCUGAUCCAGCAAUGCCGCGUGAGUGAUGAAGGCCUUAGGGUUGUAAAUCUCUUUUACCCGGGAUGAUAAUGACAGUACCGGGAGAAUAAGCUCCGGCUAACUCCGUG
rnacentral:rRNA from 1 species